UGUCCCAGCAGCCGCGGUAAUACGAAGGGUGCAAGCGUUAAUCGGAAUUACUGGGCGUAAAGCGCGCGUAGGCGGUUUGGUUAGUUGGAUGUGAAAGCCCCGGGCUCAACCUGGGAAUGGCGCUUGUGACUGCACAGCUCGAGUGCGGCAGAGGGGGAUGGAAUUCCGCGUGUAGCAGUGAAAUGCGUAGAUAUGCGGAGGAACACCAAUGGCGAAGGCAAUCCCCUGGGCCUGCACUGACGCUCAUGCACGAAAGCGUGGGGAGCAAACAGGAUUAGAUACCCUGGUAGUCCACGCCCUAAACGAUGCGAACUGGACGUUGGGUGCAAUUGAGCAUUCAGUGUCGAAGCUAACGCGUUAAGUUCGCCGCCUGGGGAGUACGGUCGCAAGACUGAAACUCAAAGGAAUUGACGGGGGCCCGCACAAGCGGUGGAGUAUGUGGUUUAAUUCGAUGAUACGCGAGGAACCUUACCAAGACUUAAAUGGGAAUUGACAGUUUUAGAAAUAGAACUUUCUUCGGACAAUUUUCAAGGUGCUGCAUGGUUGUCGUCAGCUCGUGCCGUGAGGUGUUAGGUUAAGUCCUGCAACGAGCGCAACCCCUGUCACUAGUUGCCAUCAUUCAGUUGGGGACUCUAGUGAGACUGCCUAC
rnacentral:rRNA from 1 species